rnacentral:rRNA from 1 species
CCUACGGGUGGCAGCAGUGAGGAAUAUUGGUCAAUGGGCGCGAGCCUGAACCAGCCAAGUAGCGUGAAGGAUGACUGCCCUACGGGUUGUAAACUUCUUUUAUAAGGGAGUAAAGUGAGGCACGUGUGCCUUUUUGUAUGUACUUUAUGAAUGAGGAUCGGCUAACUCCGUGCCAGCAGCCGCGGUAAUACGGAGGAUCCGGGCGUUGUCCGGGUUUAUUGGGUUUAAAGGGAGCGUAGAUGGGUUGUUAAGUAAGUUGUGAAAGUUUGCGGCUCAAACGUAAAAUUGCAAUUGAUACUGGCAGACUUGAGUACAGUUGAGGUAGGCGGAAUUCGUGGUGUAGCGGUGAAAUGCUUAGAUAUCACGAAGAACUCCGAUUGCGAAGGCAGCUUACUAAACUGCCACUGACAUUGAUGCUCGAAAGUGUGGGUAUCAAACAGGAUUAGAUACCCUUGUAGUC